rnacentral:lncRNA from 1 species
GAAUGGUUGCAGCCAGUAAGAUAUAAUAGAUUCAAGCUUGAAGCAAACCUGUUCUUUCCGCUUCUCAUGUGUGGAGAAACAGGUUACGGCUUACUGAUCCCAACCCAACUCAGCAGUGAGUAAAAUUUGUUGCUACAGAACAAUACUGGCAGAAGAACAAAUGGAUCCCAUGAAUAAAUUUAGGUUGAUAAUUAGAAGAAAUUUUCUAACCAUCUGGAAUAACAAUCAGAAUACUGAGGGUUGUGUAACAGUCUUCAGAUGAACAGUGGAAUGAGACCAUUGAAAUUUUUUGAAGAUGAAGCUUGAUAAACUUCUCUAUGGGAUUGUUUGGGAUGAUUGUCUGCAAAAACAGGGGGCUGAAAUAAAAAAUAAAAAACAAAACGAAACAAAACAAAACAAAACAUGAUGUUGUAUGCAGCCCUUUGUGCAAUUUAAGGGAAAGUGAUGUCAGUCCAUAAGGAUGAACAUUAUGGAAUGAGAAUGACUACUGCAGAGGCCAAGAACAGGAUAGAUAUGGAUCACUUUUCCUCACAAAGCAGAAAUGAGUUGGUGCCCACUUCAGGCCUGCUUUAUUGCAUAUAGGAAGAAAUUUCCACUGACGUUGGUGGGAAACACAUCCCAGCUGCUAAGGUACUCCAAAUUUGCCUCGGUUCCCAGGCAUCAAAGGGAUUUUUCUGUAACAGUAUAUUAUCAGAUGACUGUUAUUUUGAGUUCCCCUUUUGUCCAACAAAAUGUGGAUUUCAUAAAGAGACUGAAGAAUAAACAUUUUGAGAUAAGUAUCAUUUGGAUAUUUUUGAGUCAAAAUGAGCAAAAACCUUUGAAGGCAUUUCGUGGGGCCCAGCUGUAUCUUCUAAUUGUUCACAUGAAAGAUUGUAUAUGUGGGAGUUUUAUGUUAAGAGUAUUUACAGCAUUAAAUGACAUUUAA